GAAAAUGAAUCAAAACUUUCAACAACGGAUCUCUUGGUUCUGGCAUCGAUGAAGAACGCAGCGAAAUGCGAUAAGUAAUGUGAAUUGCAGAAUUCAGUGAAUCAUCGAAUCUUUGAACGCACAUUGCGCCCGCCAGUAUUCUGGCGGGCAUGCCUGUCCG
rnacentral:rRNA from 1 species